rnacentral:rRNA from 1 species
UGUGAGGUAACGGCCACCAAGGCGACGAUCAGUAGCCGGACUGAGAGGUUGGCCGGCCACAUUGGGACUGAGAUACGGCCCAGACUCCUACGGAAGGCAGCAG